CGGACGGGUGAGUAACGCGUGAGAAUCUGCCUUCAGGAUGGGGACAACAGCGGGAAACUGCUGCUAAUACCCAAUGUGCCGCAAGGUGAAAGAAAUUCGCCUGAAGAGGAGCUCGCGUCUGAUUAGCUAGUUGGUGGAGUAAAAGCCUACCAAGGCGACGAUCAGUAGCUGGUCUGAGAGGAUGAGCAGCCACACUGGGACUGAGACACGGCCCAGACUCCUACGGGAGGCAGCAGUGGGGAAUUUUCCGCAAUGGGCGAAAGCCUGACGGAGCAAUACCGCGUGAGGGAGGAAGGUUCAAGUAAUUGUAAACCUCUUUUAUCAGGGAAGAAAAAAAUGACGGUACCUGAUGAAAAAGCAUCGGCUAACUCCGUGCCAGCAGCCGCGGUAAUACGGAGGAUGCAAGCGUUAUCCGGAAUUAUUGGGCGUAAAGCGUCCGCAGGUGGUAGUACAAGUCUGCUGUCAAAGACCAGAGCUUAACUCUGGGCAGGCGGUGGAAACUGUAAUACUAGAGACCGGUAGGGGUAGAGGGAAUUCCCAGUGUAGCGGUGAAAUGCGUAGAGAUUGGGAAGAACACCAGUGGCGAAGGCGCUCUACUGGGCCGGAACUGACACUAAGGGACGAAAGCUAGGGGAGCGAAAGGGAUUAGAUACCCCUGCCUGA
rnacentral:rRNA from 1 species